UAAUAGCAAUUUGUCCAACUGGUGGCGACGGCGGCGGUGGUGGUGGCGGUGAUGGUGGUGGUGGUGGUGGUGGUGGCGGGAAGGAGGGACUGUGUUGUUGUGUAUAGAUCUUGCAUAGGUGAGAAAGAGACGAGUGUAUAAAAAGAUGAUUUCCCUGUCUUUGUUCUCUCACCGGGACUGUUUUUAAAUAUUACAGGGAUUAUUAGUCUGUUUUCCAUAAGUGCUUUUCUUAUUACCGGCUGACGAUUUUUAACUAUCAUUAGAAUCAUGAACACGUCUUUAAAAACUCGAUUUUCACUACAACCUGUUUAAUGUAGCUUGGGUAAGAUGCCGAAGUGUUUAAGAAAGGGUCCCUCAUGGUGAAGUGAACCCUUUCCCUUCCACUCACACGCUGUGAGGACUGCACAGCCUUCACGGGUUUCUGCUGCAGUGCUGCAGUUCUCUACAAGACAACUAUUCUUCAGGAGUUGGGACUUUUUGAGUAAUGGGAUCUUGGUCUCACGUAUUGCAGAGUGAUUUCUUUGCUAAAAAUAUUUCCUGCUAUCCACAGCUUGAGACAGCUCAACAAUGUCUGCCGUGUUUUGUUGCUUCUUACUGAGUUAAUAGCGGUCAGUGAAAGCAUCUGAAUAGCUUUUACUCCAUAACGUGACAGAUCUGCAGAUUACAAAUUAGAUUAUUUCUUCCUGGAGAUGUGGUGCUCCGCUAAUAGGAAAUUAGAUUUGAAACUGUAGAUGGUGAAAAAGUUCAUGCACAGAAAGUUGAGGGAGUGACGAGGACACUUCUUGAAGUCGUCACUUUGGAAGUGGUCCUGCCAGAGGACAUUUGCCGUCCAUACCUUCUUGAUUUACUGCCACCAACAUGUUUGUGCCUCGCUCGACACUGCUGUUGGUGACACUCGGUAAUAGCAAGUUCCUCACCUUGACACCAUCUUUGUCACGGAUCGCUCCCAGAGACACUUCAGUCUGUCUCAUUGCAGUCUUGAUACUACUACUACUACUACUAACUAAAUCAGUAAUAGUAAUAAUCGUAGUGGAUACCAAUACAGUAAUGAUGUAGGUGCAAAACAUAGACCUAAGGACAUGCCAGUAGGUAAGCCUUCUAAUUCUAAGCACAGACAAUCCCGUGGCGAGGUGUCGGAGCAUGGCGACGAAACGUGUUCGAAAACUAGUCACGUAGGCAGAAUCAUCAAACAGCCUUCACACCCCGGACAGUUAAAUGCUGGAGGUGUUGUGUGCCACCCACGCUGGUCUGUGACACACUGCAUGCCACUGAAUCUUUGACCAUCGCCUCCACAUGCUUUGUUCCGGAACCACAUGUUCACCUACACAGUUCACUUUUUUUUUUUUUUCCAAGCGACAGAACGAAGAGUAAUGUAACUGUUCAUGACUGUUGUUUGUGUCUGAGUCUUACACAUCCCUUGCUGUGCAGUCUGCCCCACAGUGACCGUUCCUGAAAUGUUCUUUGUAGACACGCUGGUCGCUCAUCAGCAGCUGGCAUGACGCUUCGUCCCCGUGCUUCGACACUGAUCCGAAAAGUGUUCCACCACUACACGUGUGAGUGAUCGUGUCGACAAGCCUUCUUGCAUUUCAGGCUUGCCAGGCGUGUGUUCCAACCUGCUCGCCUCGCUGCCUAAAUGGCACUCACGCAUUUACCUGGCCUAGGGCAGCGCACAAACAACUGCCGGAAAUCUGUUUACUUUAGUCCUGUUUCGGAUAAAAGUUGAAACUGCGGUACGUACAAUGUCCUAGCGGGAGGUGGGGAGGAGGUAGAGGCUGACGGGGCGAGGGAGGGCAUUUUACGUGAGCAGGCUCUUCCCGCUUUCCAACCACUCAGUGACGGCGCGACACACAAGGGCGAUAUUUUUAAAGCUCUUCUUUUUUUAACCUCUCUGUUUCUCCAUAAUGAUAAUUUGUUGCACAGUUACUCAUCGUUUCUUCUUUGCCAUCAAGACACGGGAAGUGUGAAGGAAAAAGAGAAUAUCACGUUUAAUGUUGACCACCGUACUCGCGCGGCAGUCGUUGGCACGGAGAAGCGUGGUGGCGGCGCUGCGGCACGGCCUCCCAUAGCACGCACUACGUCUGCACGGUCUGAGUUUUGUAAGGCGAGUUCUCGAGUCUUUGGUGGCGGAGCAUGGAAACCACUCAAGCAGAGGCACCAUUAUCCGGCGGGAGUAAACAGUGCCUCCAUGAAUAUUUUCCUAGACGUGGCAGGACUCUUGUGUGCGAAGGAAUGAACAGCAUGCAAACGAUGUGUACAGUUCUGUGAAUCGGCUUGGCCAGAGCUAGAACAGGGCCCCGGAAAGGCACCGCCACAAAGAUAACAGUCGUGCGCUGGUCCUGCAUAUGGCGACCCCAUUUAGUCUCGACCCCCUCCCAAGCUGUCUCGCUGAUUAGCCACAUGUGGGGAUUCCGUGUGGCAAUGGUCGGCGCGGUACUGAUUGCGGUGGGAGAAAAUUAAUGCAAGCCUGUAGAGUCAAGCGUGUGAAGUGCGGCACAGGAGGGGGUGAGGUCGCAGUGAUGGGUUCAGUAUGAGGCCACGAACCUGUCUGCUGGAGGGAACACGCGAUAGGACACUGGCCAAAUCUGAGGAAGAAAAGACAUGUUUGCCGUUACCUCUGAGGCAGCGCAGAGAACCUUUCAGCGGCAGCGUGUGCGAAAUGUGGAAAUAUUUGGUGGGAGAAGGUCACGGGUCACGCGCAUCGGCAGGAGUGUGUGGCCAGUGUGGGAGCCUGGACCUGUCCUCCUGCAGAGCCGCGGCGACUUGACUCCAACACGACAUGGUGGGCAGACUGUGUGCCUUUUAUUCAUCCGCCCCCAGUGAGAUAGAUUCCGCUCCAAACGGCCCACCAUCACGUGAUGCGAAACGCGAGAGCGGCCACGGCGACCCUUGUCCAUCAGGCAGCAGGGGCGCCGACACUGUGCGGGGGAAAGAAGGACGUGGCGAGGGAGACAUUAAAAAUAUAAUAGAUAAAGUAAAAUAAAUAAGUAAAUAGAUAAAUAAAUAAAGGAAUACUGGACUGUACGUGGCAAGGUUGAGUGUUAGCAUUAAGGGUUUCAUGUUUCUACUUGACAGUUACAAAAGGAAAUGAUGAGUUAGGACAAUGUUGCAUGAGAAAAUAGAAUGUCUCGAAAUACAUAAUAAAAGCCACGUGGAGACCUGUUCUUGGGGUUCAGCUGUUUAGUUUAUUAAUCAUCUUUUGUCUGUAUUUUGGUCCCUGUUCCUCCUGUAUUACAUAAAAAAAAAAAAAAAAACUACUAGCAAAUUCUCCUUAGUUCCAUCUUAUAGCGCAGCCCGAUGGAUGCAGCAUUAUCAUAUUUCCUUACCCCAUACAUUCCUUUACUCCUGGAGGUCAAGUCUGGUGAGAGGGAAGUAAGCUCUCGCCUGCAGUUCGAGCAAUGGAAUCCAAUUAGCUGGAGCGUGCGUAGCCUGUCCGUAGCAGCCAUCCGCU